GGACUACUGGGGUAUCUAAUCCCGUUUGCUCCCCUGGCCUUCGCGCCUCAGCGUCAGGAACUGUCUAGAGAUCCGCCUUCGCCACUGGUCUUCCUCACGAUCUCUACGCAUUUCACUGCUACACCGUGAAUUCCAAUCUCCCCUCCAGUCCUCAAGCAAAGCAGUAUCCAGUGCAGUUUAGGAGUUGAGCUCCUAGAUUUCACACCAGACUUACCUCGCCGCCUACGCGCCCUUUACGCCCAAUGAAUCCGAACAACGCUUGAGACCUCUGUAUUACCGCGGCUGCUGGCAC
rnacentral:rRNA from 1 species